rnacentral:rRNA from 1 species
GACGAACGCUGGCGGCGUGCCUAACACAUGCAAGUGGAGCGACGAACCGGGGCUUGCCCCGGGGCAGAGCCGCGAACGGGUGAGUAACACGUGGGUUACCUACCCCGAUGACUGGGACAACCCGUCGAAAGACGGGCUAAUACCGGAUGUGCCCCUUGGGGGAAAGGAAGCUUCGGCCUCCGCAUCGGGAUGGGCCCGCGGCGCAUUAGCUUGUUGGUGGGGUAAUGGCUUACCAAGGCGACGAUGCGUAGCUGGUCUGAGAGGACGAUCAGCCACACUGGGACUGAGACACGGCCCAGACUCCUACGGGAGGCAGCAGUGGGGAAUCUUGCACAAUGCGCGAAAGCGUGAUGCAGCAACGCCGCGUGCGGGAAGAAGGCCUUAGGGUUGUAAACCGCUUUCAGUUGGGACGAAGCUUCAGUCGUUAAUAGCGGUUUGGAGUGACGGUACCUUCAGAAGAAGCGCCGGCUAACUACGUGCCAGCAGCCGCGGUAAUACGUAGGGCGCGAGCGUUGUCCGGAGUCAUUGGGCGUAAAGCGCGUGUAGGCGGCUGAGUAAGUCUGCUGUGAAAGUCCAGGGCUCAACCCUGGAAUGUCGGCGGAUACUGCUCAGCUGGAGUACGGGAGGGGCGAGUGGAAUUCCUGGUGUAGCGGUGGAAUGCGCAGAUAUCAGGAGGACACCUAUGGCGAAGGCAGCUCACUGGAACGUUACUGACGCUGAGACGCGAA